CACGUAGGGCGCGAGCGUUGUCCGGAAUUAUUGGGCGUAAAGAGCUCGUAGGCGGCCUGUUGCGUCCGCUGUGAAAGCCCGGGGCUUAACCCCGGGUCGCAGUGGAUACGGGCAGGCUAGAGGUAGGUAGGGGAGAAUGGAAUUCCCGGUGUAGCGGUGAAAUGCGCAGAUAUCGGAGGAGACCGUGCGAGGCGGUCAGCUGGGC
rnacentral:rRNA from 1 species